GGGAAUUUGUACGUGUCUCGUGAAUCUCGUUUUCAUUCCGUUCAGUGUGUUGGUUGGUAGCCAUUGAGAGAGGAAGGUCUCUCUAAUCAGAAGUUAUGAUGUUUCUUACACUGUAACAUGUUUCUUUUUGGUUGGAAACAGUUCAUCUUUGUAUAAGCAGCACUCGGUGAGAUUCAUUUGUGUGGAUUUGUGUGGAUGAUGGCGUAUAUCUUAUUUGUGUAAAUGGGCUAAAGAUCCUACAGAUCUUGCCUACCUUGUUCACAUGCUUAUAUGAUUACGUAGACUGAUGUUUGGUUUACAAGAUGUACCGGUAUACUUUGUGAAUAUGUCAGAUGAACUGUUGUAAAUAAUGUAAACAGUUGGUUUGUCAAUAAACUGAAUAUGAUCGAACCUGAAGAGAAGAUUUUGUAUAUAUUGAUACCCCUGAAGAGAUACCCAAAAAUACAAUAAUACUAGGUAUUAUAAACCAG